rnacentral:sRNA from 1 species
GGCUUUUAUUUCUUAAAUCUCUGACACUUUGAAUGUCUCCUUGGGCCCCUGAAGAGAGGAAGUGGUGGCCUGGAUCUGGUGACUAUCCCUUGAUUCUGCGGUGGUGCCACAGGCACAGUCCAGCACAUGCUCACUUUGUUUUCCUUUUCUGACAAGUGUUUUUGGAAAUCGUCAGUGAGAAGUCCAGAUACUCUCUCCAUCAGAACAUGGACAAGAUCAAGGUUCCGACGCAGAUCAUCUGGGGGAAACAAGACCAGGUGCUGGAUGUGUCUGGGGCAGACAUGUUGGCCAAGUCAAUUGCCAACUGCCAGGUGGAGCUUCUGGAAA